GUGGGAAAUGCAGAGGCUGCACAUUAAGCUGUUACGAAUAACUGCUGUUGGGAUGGAAUGAAAUGGAAACAAAUCUGCAUUUUAUUUGCACUCUCUCUGCAAUUCCAUGCCAUCCAGACUGCAGUUACGUUCUGUGCACAGCAACACCGCCAAAAAGGAGAUGAGAUCUUGGAGUUUAAGGAGGACAAGUCACUCACCACUCCGCCAAUCACUGGUGGCACUUGGACUGUUCCCUAGGAAUUCUGGAUUUCAAAGCCUGUUCCUGCUCCUCUACUCCAAGCUACCCUGAGGGCAGAAAACAUGUCUUCAUUUAUCUUUGCCUUUCCAACAGCAUAUGGUCUCUUUUCUGACACACAGUGGGUGUGAACAUUGAUAAAAUAUUUAACAAGGGUUAGCAAAGCAAUAAACUCAAAAGCCAUAUCUAGGUCA
rnacentral:lncRNA from 13 species